CCUACGGGAGGCAGCAGUAGGGAAUAUUGGGCAAUGGAGGCAACUCUGACCCAGCCAUGCCGCGUGCAGGAUGAAGGCGUUAUGCGUUGUAAACUGCUUUUAUAUAGGAAGAAAUAGACCUUGCGAGGUAAGUUGACGGUACUAUAUGAAUAAGCACCGGCUAACUCCGUGCCAGCAGCCGCGGUAAUACGGAGGGUGCAAGCGUUGUCCGGAUUUAUUGGGUUUAAAGGGUGCGUAGGCGGUUUAUUAAGUCAGUGGUGAAAGACGGUCGCUCAACGAUUGCAGUGCCAUUGAUACUGGUAGACUUGAGUGUGAUUGAGGUAGCUGGAAUGGAUAGUGUAGCGGUGAAAUGCAUAGAUAUUAUCCAGAACACCAAUUGCGUGGGCAAGUUACUAAGUCACAACUGACGCUGAGGCACGAAAGUGUGGGUAUCAAACAGGAUUAGAUACCCUGGUAGUCCACACUGUAAACGAUGAUAACUAACUGUUGGCUUUUGGGUCAGUGGUACAGAGAAAUCGUUAAGUUAUCCACCUGGGGAGUACGCGGCAACGGUGAAACUCAAAUGAAUUGACGG
rnacentral:rRNA from 1 species